GACGAACGCUGGCGGCGUGCUUAACACAUGCAAGUCGAACGAAGUGGCGAACGGGUGAGUAACGCGUAAUCAACCUGCCCUUCAGAGGGGGACAACAGUUGGAAACGACUGCUAAUACCGCAUACUGAAGGAGGAGAUUGCGUCUGAUUAGCUAGUUGGAGGGGUAACGGCCCACCAAGGCGAUGAUCAGUAGCCGGUCUGGGAGGAUGAACGGCCAAAAUGGGAAUGAGACACGGCCCAGAACCCUACGGGAGGGAGCAGGGGGGAAUCUUCCGAAAUGGAGGAAAGGCUGAAGGAGCAACGCCGCGUGAGUGAUGACGGCCUUCGGGUUGUAAAGCUCUGUUAAUCGGGACGCGGUACCGGAAGAGAAAGCCACGGCUAACUACGUGCCAGCCGCCGCGGUAAUAC
rnacentral:rRNA from 1 species